rnacentral:rRNA from 1 species
GACGAACGCUGGCGGCGUGCUUAACACAUGCAAGUCGAGCGGAAAGGCCUGCUUUCCCUUGUGGAUUGCGGGUACUCGAGUGGCGAACGGGUGAGUAACACGUGAGUGAUCUGCCCCCAACUUGGGUAUAAGCCUGGGAAACUGGGUCUAAUUCCCGAUAGGACUGCAGGGUGGUGCCUGUGGUGGAAAACGAUUUUCUAGUGGUUGGGGAUGAGCUCGCGGCCUAUCAGCUUGUUGGUGGGGUAAUGGCCUACCAAGGCGGCGACGGGUAGCCGGCCUGAGAGGGUGGACGGCCACAUUGGGACUGAGAUACGGCCCAGACUCCUACGGGAGGCAGCAGUGGGGAAUAUUGCACAAUGGGCGGAAGCCUGAUGCAGCGACGCCGCGUGGGGGAUGACGGCCUUCGGGUUGUAAACUCCUUUCGACCGCGAGGAAGCCACCUGGUUGGAAGGGUGGUGACGGUAGUGGUAGAAGAAGCACCGGCUAACUACGUG